rnacentral:lncRNA from 1 species
GCAUCCAAUUCUUACCAUAGAUUUCUGAUGUCUGGAAGCAUGGUGGAGCAACACACUUCUGAAGGGAGAGCAGGUGCUGUAGUGAAGUUUUCCACAAAAGAAGAAAAUGUUGUGCUCUUUGUCUACCUCACCAACUUCCCUUCAGCCCUUGGGGAGUGUAGAAGACCUCCAUGUUCACCAGGGCUCCAUUUUAAGGAGAGAACAGAAGUUGGAGGAUAAGGUGGGAGUUCUGAUUGAUGUGGACCAGAUAAGGUGACAUCCGGCCAAAGAGGAAGCUGGGAGCCACAGACUGCUAAUAGGAUGAAGGGAGACACAGCUACCCCUCUGUGGGGUCAUCAGAGAUUGAGGGGGCUGGCAUAAAGAUGAACAUCUGCGUCCAAAACCACAUAACUCCAUACACCACAACAUCUAAUAGGAGACCAACAUAUUGUCAGAGGCCACCAGCAACAGAGGGAAGCAGAUAAAGCCAGUGUAAGAUCAGGAGCCUUUUUCCACCAAUGACA